GAAAGAAUAUCGGAGACGGAUGGGCAUGCGGCGCAUUAGCUAGUUGGCGGGGUAACGGCCCACCAAGGCGACGAUGCGUAGGGGUUCUGAGAGGAAGGUCCCCCACACUGGUACUGAGACACGGACCAGACUCCUACGGGAGGCAGCAGUGAGGAAUAUUGGUCAAUGGGCGAGAGCCUGAACCAGCCAAGUCGCGUGAGGGAGUACUGCCCUAUGGGUUGUAAACCUCUUUUGUCGGGGAGCAAAAGCCGGACGUGUCCGGCUGUGAGAGUACCCGAAGAAAAAGCAUCGGCUAACUCCGUGCCAGCAGCCGCGGUAAUACGGAGGAUGCGAGCGUCAUCCGGAUUUAUUGGGUUUAAAGGGUGCGCAGGCGGAUUUUUAAGUCAGCGGUCAAAUCGUGGGGCUCAACCCCAUCCAGCCGUUGAAACUGGGGAUCUAGAGUGUGCGAGAGGUAUGCGGAAUGCGUGGUGUAGCGGUGAAAUGCAUAGAUAUCACGCAGAACCCCGAUUGCGAAGGCAGCAUACCGGUGCACAACUGACGCUCAGGCACGAAAGCGUGGGUAUCGAACAGGAUUAGAUACCCUGGUAGUCCACGCAGUAAACGAUGAAUGCUACCUGUUUGGCCAGAUUGAAGGCUGA
rnacentral:rRNA from 1 species